ACGGAAGGCAGCAGUGAGGAAUAUUGGUCAAUGGGCGGAAGCCUGAACCAGCCAAGUCGCGUGAAGGAUGAAGGUUCUAUGGAUUGUAAACUUCUUUUGCCUGAGGGUAAAGGUCGGUACGUGUACCGAUUUGCAAGUAUCAGGUGAAUAAGCAUCGGCUAACUCCGUGCCAGCAGCCGCGGUAAUACGGAGGAUGCGAGCGUUAUCCGGAUUUAUUGGGUUUAAAGGGUGCGUAGGCGGAAUGUUAAGUCAGUGGUAAAAGCGUGUGGCUCAACCAUACCAAGCCGUUGAAACUGGCGUUCUUGAGUACAAACGAGGUAGGCGGAAUGUGACGUGUAGCGGUGAAAUGCUUAGAUAUGUCACAGAACUCCGAUUGCGAAGGCAGCUUACCAGCAUGUAACUGACGCUGAGGCACGAAAGCGUGGGUAUCAAACAGGAUUAGAUACCCUGGUA
rnacentral:rRNA from 2 species